rnacentral:rRNA from 1 species
AGUGAACGCUGGCGGUAGGCCUAACACAUGCAAGUCGAACGGCAGCACAGUAAGAGCUUGCUCUUACGGGUGGCGAGUGGCGGACGGGUGAGGAAUACAUCGGAAUCUACUUUUUCGUGGGGGAUAACGUAGGGAAACUUACGCUAAUACCGCAUACGACCUACGGGUGAAAUCAGGGGAUCUUCGGACCUUGCGCGAUUGAAUGAGCCGAUGUCGGAUUAGCUAGUUGGCGGGGUAAAGGCCCACCAAGGCGACGAUCCGUAGCUGGUCUGAGAGGAUGAUCAGCCACACUGGAACUGAGACACGGUCCAGACUCCUACGGGAGGCAGCAGUGGGGAAUAUUGGACAAUGGGCGCAAGACUGAUCCAGCCAUACCGCGUGGGUGAAGAAGGCCUUCGGGUUGUAAAGCCCUUUUGUUGGGAAAGAAAAGCAGCAGGUUAAUACCACGCUGUUCUGACGGUACCCAAAGAAUAAGCACCGGCUAACUUCGUG